rnacentral:tRNA from 1 species
UGGGAUGUAGUUUCGUGGUAGUGCCCUUGCCUAACAUGCAAGAGGCCUUGGGUUCUAUUCCCAGCACUACAA